rnacentral:misc_RNA from 1 species
CAGUGACCCGUCUAUACCACCGGAUUCAUAACCCUUGUUGUAACCUACCUAACUGUUGCCUCCGGGGGACAGACCGGCCUGUAACGGGCGGGGCCUCCGGGAGGACACUUCAACUCUUGCUUAACUGUUGCUUCUGAGUAAACUUAAGUAAAUAAAUUA